GGCUGGGGCUCAGUGGUAGAGCACUUUCCUAGCAUGUGUGAGGCCCUGGGUUCAAUUCUCAGCACCA
rnacentral:tRNA from 1 species